rnacentral:lncRNA from 1 species
GUCUGCGUGCGAGGGGAUUUGGGUUUCGAUUUUUGUGUUUUGAUUUCUGAUCGUGUUUUUCUUCGUCGUUAAUCUGCGUGCGAGGGGAUUUGGGUUUCUACGAUAUUCACAUAAAUGUGGAAGAAGGGAUUGAAUUAGUAUGAUAUUGAUAACUGUCUGUUAGCCUUCUUCGUAUUCGUGCCCGGACCGGAUGUUAGUUUUUCUUCUAUGAACGGUUGGAUUUUCUAUAAUUCUGAGAUUUUGGACUGAUGACGUUAUUUCAUUCCGCACGAGAUUGGCUGAUAAAAAUUGGAAGUUCAUGUUUUUGUAGAUUAGAGAAGCAUCACUAUCAUCUGCAGUUUUCGACUUAUAUGCGUUUUGUGUGCGAUAUUCGCUAUGUUCUAGUAGUUGCUUGGCUCUCAAUGAUUUCGUCAUGAUCAUCGGGUAAAUGUCGACAUUCAUCAUUGCAAAUAUGGAUUCAAAUAUUUUUCACUCUUUAUCCCGUCAUCUUGUUCAUCCUACUGAAGGCACGUAUCCCAACAAUUAUGCUUUUCCUUUCUAUUUGCAGAACGUGCUCAACUAUUUCGUAAGUCUUGCAUCCGUUUUGCGUUCAUAGUAUCUCCUUUUAGGGGACUUCUGCUGAAUCUAAUCUGCCUUUCUUUUUUAGAUUUACCAAUUGCUGUCUUGUUCUAAAGUCAUCUGCUGUUUGGUUUUUUCUUAUUCAUAGUCUUGCCUCUUUUUUAUGUCAACUAGUUUUUUGUGAAUACGAGACUUAUUAUAUUAGUUCGUAGUUCCCAUAGUUCUGGCUGCUUCUGUUUCACCUUCCCUUUUAACUAUCCUCUUCUCUGUUUCAUUUUUUCUCGCAGAUCUAGUCAUGCUUAUCAUCUACUUCAAAGUUAUGCCUCCGUUCAGUAUGUAUCUAUAGUUUCGUUGUUUUGAUGUGCUUGGUUGCUGUUGGUUUUCAAUUUUUACCCAGUAGUUUGAUUGUGUCAGUGAUUUAGUAUCUCGGGAUUUGAACACGACGUAGUUGAUUUUAAGGUAUGAUCUUUUAUUAUAGUCCACGAGGACAUUAUUUUAUGUGAAAUUUUAUGCCUUAAUUGUGAUUUGUAAUUAAUUACUUUGUAUUUGACUUUGAAAGGUUGUUCACAAGUAUUUUUUAAACUAUCUAUGAUGAUCUUUUUAAAUUCCAACACCUGGGAUUAUUAUAUAUUUUUAAGUUUUUUAUGAUUCUAAGAUUCUGGUGAAUUAACACCUUGAAAGGAUUUAGUUUGGAGUUAUGAUCUUUUCGUCACUAUUGUUUCUUUUCCAUCUUAGUGUCUCAUUUUGACAUGAUCUGCGAGUGUUCUAUUAUGCAUUGUAUAGUGAAUUUCAAAUAUUAGGAUUGAAUCGAUGUAGGACCAUGGUGCACUAUGGCUCUCUAGGACUUUGUUGCACUGUGAGGCUGGAUGAAGGCUGGCUGGGUAUCUUGAGGUUUGACGAACGGACUAAUUUCUAAUUUCUAAUCUCUUUUCAAAUUGGGAGGGUUUUCUUGGUUUCUGUCCUGGGUUCCUUUGCUUGCUGGUCCUGCACAAGCUCAUAUCUCUCUGGAUUUUGCAUUUGCGUGUAUCUUCUUGGUAGAUUAUUCCAGAAUGGAAGAUUUCAUUGAUAAACUUGUAAAGCACAAUUUACUUGGAUUUGUCUGUAUAAGCCCGCUAUCUUCCUAUCUGCAUUCUCCCGUUUGUAGAAUUUGCAUUUGCAAGGUGAAUGAUAUUGCUGGAAGAUAUCAAAAGGUUGAACACUCAUGGGCUGGGGAAACCAUACAGAGUUGUAACCUGUUCUGGUGUUAUCUCUAUCCUAUCAGCUUUUGAUCUAUUUGCACUUUUAAGGAUAUAUGCCUUAUGGUCUUCUUUUAUGGUGUACUUCAGCAAAGAAAUUUGAAGCAAAUAUCAUGUUGGCUGGGCAGCUGAGUUCCUUAUCUUUAUGUUUUUCCUCACCAACUUUGUUUCAUUUUUAUAAAACAAACAUGCUAUUGUGUCUUAACUUGUGCUGAUGUUGCUGCAAUGAAGAUGUGAUUUUGCUAAAGCUGCUUUGGUUUUGAGUUGAUUUUCAAUGUGGACUAUGGCUCCUCCUUGCACGGGUGGGAUAUUUGGGAAAUGAUGAAGACUGGGUGCCUCAAGGCUGUCCUUCCAAAUGUUGCUGCAUGUCCUUUAUGGUGACUUUUUUGGGUGGUCUGGGUAUUCCGUGGUUCUUUUCCUGGGUUCUCUUGCUGGUGGUCCUGCAAAAAAUGACCUUUCUGGGUUUGAGUUGUGCUUUUAUGUUCUUUCGAGCUGUCUUCAUCUUUGCCAUCUGAAACAUUUUGGUCCAUUAUUGCUUUGCUUCCAACAUGUUGUUGAACAUCUUGUGUUAUCCUAGGUGAAGUCUAGGAGAAGUCUUAUUUAGUGGCUCUUCAUUCAGGACAGAACUCAUUAGGCUUAAUCUGGGUGAUAUAUUUUGUUUAGGAUCAUAUAAAUAAAGAGCAAGCAAUGUGUUGUGGAUCAUUUCUAUUUGCGUCUGAUUACCUAUUGAAACAGAGUGCUUGGAAAUUUUUAUCAUAAGAGAUUCAGCUGUUGGGAGUACUAAUUGUUGGCAUAGUCUUGAGUUCAUGGUUGGAUUGAAUAUCAUGCUGUCCUGUGUUUGCGUAGGACAGAAGGUACUACUUGAAAAUGAAUUUUAGUCGAACACAUCUAACAAUUAGGCAUGGUCGAAGGCAUUUUAGUUUUUGGGUUUUUAAGUUGAUAUUGAAGAUGUUUCAAUCGAGUUCUUCUUUGUUAGAUCUUAUUUUACGUGGAGUUAGUGUGUUCCCGUUGUCACUUCUGUAAAAUGUUACUGGUCUCCUUUUCUUUUGAGGUGGUGUUGGUUUAAAAGUCUUAUUCAUCUCUUGCUUGAGAUGCUAUGGAUGAUGAAAGCCUAACGUCUUGCAGAUUAAAUGAAGAACCUUGUGCUGCCAUCUCCUCACUUAUUUGACCGAUCAUCUUAUUCAUCUAUCUGAAUAUUUGUAGCAUAUAUUGUUACUUAUUCUCUAUCUUUUCGCUAAUAUAUGUUUAUGGAGAACAUAUGGAAUUAGUAUAGUAGAUAGCUUUUUGUCCGUUCGUUAAGCUAUUUAUCUAUUUGGAAAGACAUUAGAAUAGUAAGAGUCUCAUUUAUUCUCAUCUUGAAUAAUUAGUGUGUAUAUAGGCGAGGGAUCAUAGUAAGCGCGCCUUUGGAGCACCUUAGUAUCCUUAAUUGCAUAAGCUUAACUUAAAACAUAAAGCUGCAUGAUGUUGCACACGAAACUCAUAUAUGAAUUCAAUGCAUACAUUCAUUAACGUUACUUAUAUGCAUGUAAUGCAAUUUUCAAAAGAUGCAUGAUUAUAUAUAUGUUUUUGUAUUGCUGUAUAGCCAAACAUGCAUAGCUAAUAUUGUACUACGUGAGGGAAGGGUAUUACCUGAUCUUGAUCUUGUAUGUAUAUAUGGAAAAGAGAGUACCAAAACAUAGUCCCAUAACUUUUUAGCUAUCUGUCUCAUACCUAAUUGUGUUCUUGGAGGGUCAAAUUUGUGUUCAGUACUUUUUUUGGCAAUGAGAAUAUCGUGACAUAUUGUCUGUUAUGUUUGCUUGCAUUCUUACAGACGGUCCUCCAUUUUUGGUUCUGUACUUCAAGCCUGAGUAACUAGUUUUGCUCGUGGAUGGAAUAUUACUGCUGUCACUCGUUAAGCUUUGCAUUGCGUCUCUGAUAUGUUCUUGUUGUGUAUCUUAUAUCUAUUGUUGGGGAUUCUGGGCUGGAUGCUGUGAAGUUACUAUUUUUGCCAGAGUGGAAUAUAUUACAGUCACUAUCUUGACCUGCACGGAUUAUAUUUGGAUUGGUUGGCAUGCACUCUACAUAGGCUUCUGUCUACUUUUCAUUUUUUUUAGUAUCCCUUGCUGAUUGCUGUUGCAAGUUGAUUUGCUGGAAGAAGUGAAUACGUCGACAGGACAUGACAAUGGCUUUCUUUCGUGCUAUCUGUUCUUCUCAGCUUUUGAUUUGCAGCCCUAUUCAAGUUAUAAGUUCUUUUGGUGUCUUCGUCUCCAAUGCUUUUUGAAUUUAGAAUUACUGCUCUGCUUAUGAAAUGAACAGAGGGGCAUUGAGAGGUUGAUAUCUUUUUGCCAGUUAUCUGUGCCAUAGUAGCUAAAAGUGCACUAAAAGCCUAAAUGGCAUAUGUACUUCUGGGUGGAGAUAUGUGCUUACAAAGUGAGAGAAAGGUCCUAACAAGUUGUGAAGCAGUAGAAGACACUUGAGUCUUUGAGAUCUACUAUUUGAUUAUGAUUUUGGUCUAUGUUAUAAUGCUUAUUCUUGCCGGUGUUAUCCUGUAUAGUAGUCAGUCCUUUUUACCAAUGAGGAGUAGUUGAUUUCCAGAUGUUUGCAUGCCAAUCACUUGACCUGGUUGUCUUGGUGGGUUACUUUACCUGGUAUGUUGUUUAUUGUCACUUUGCAUGUACUGUUACUUGAUACUGUUUAAAAUAUGUAUUUGAUAAUUAAAUAAUAAAAUCAAUGGACUCUUCUCUUUUUUUCUAUUUCAUUAAUUAUGUUGUGUACUUCUUGAAAAUGAAAAUGGCAUAUCAUUGGCAAAUUUUUUGAAUUAAUUUUUUGAAAUGACUCUUUUCGUAGUUGACAGAUGGAAUUUUUUAGGUGGUGGGAACUUGAUGCUAGGUUCUUCAUGCUAGUAGGAACUUGUCUUGAUUCUGGAUUUCCUGUGCUUGCAAAUUAAGUUUACUGGGUUAUGGUGGUUAAUGGGUUAUGUAUGUGCCCUAUAUGUGUCUUUGUUGCUGGUCUAUUUUCCACCUUUAAAAUGUAAGCAGCGAGAAAGAAAAAUGAAGUUGCAGUAUUGAGGAUGCAUAAAAUGUCUGUUGCAGGUAAAUAUAGAAGUGAUGGAGGAGAAUACAAUGAUAAAACAUUUCUUAUCCUGGGAUUUUACUUGUGUGAGCUCUAUUGAAGAAAGUGAAGAACUGUUUAUGUCACUAUGGUGGAGUUUGCAAAUGUUGCAUGCAAUCGAGUGAGCUUAUUUGAUAGUGGUGCUCAGAUAUGGCUCUGUUACAGUUGACGUUGCAUUCAUCUUGUUGAUUAGUUAAAAUUACGGUUUGUCUGGAAAUCUUGAUGUGUCCUCAUGGCAGCAGGUGUGUUUUUGAUUCUUUAUGAUUAUUGCAACAUUGUGAUGCCAACCAUGGUAGGCGUUUUGAUUGGUCCCACUUUGUCGUUUAGAGUUUUGUUCAAUUUCCCUGUUUAGUUUCGCAUAGAUUAGUAACUUGUGUAACUUCGCCUGUGGCGCAUGCUUGGCCACAG